rnacentral:rRNA from 1 species
UACGGAGGGGGCGAGCGUUAUUCGGAAUCAUUGGGCGUAAAGGGCGCGUAGGCGGCUUCGUAAGUCUUGGGUGAAAGCCCUCGGCUCAACCGAGGAAUUGCCUUGGAUACUGCGAAGCUCGAGGCUGGAAGAGGACAGUGGAAUUCCCGGUGUAGCGGUGAAAUGCGUAGAGAUGUGGAGGAACACCGAUGGCGAAGGCAGCCUUCUGGGCCAACACUGACACUGAGGCACGAAAGCGUGGGGAGCAAACAGG